rnacentral:rRNA from 1 species
UACGUAGGUGGCAAGCGUUGUCCGGAUUUAUUGGGUUUAAAGGGCUCGUAGGCGGUCUGUUACGUCAGGAGUGAAAACUCGGGGCUCAACCCCGAGCCUGCUUCUGAUACGGGCAGACUGGAGGUAUGCAGGGGAGAACGGAAUUCCUGGUGUAGCGGUGAAAUGCGCAGAUAUCAGGAGGAACACCGGUGGCGAAGGCGGUUCUCUGGGCAUUACCUGACGCUGAGGAGCGAAAGUGUGGGGAGCGAACAGG